rnacentral:lncRNA from 1 species
GUUGAGUGUAGGUUGUUUGUUAUUUUGGGUAGAUAUCUUAGUUUGGGUAAUUGGCAAGUGUUUUGGAUUGUGCACAAAUGCAAAAAUAAUGUUUCCAACACGAUUUAUGCUAUGUGCAAAAGGGGGAAAUGUAAUAGGAAGAGAAAGAUUGCAAAAGGGCUUUGCAAUGUGAACUUCCAAGUGAUUGACAGGGACAUGUGAUGGAGAGUCACAUGGGAGCCUGGGUCAAGAUCUGGGUGAAGAUUCCAAGAUUCCAACUGAAGAAAAACUCUCUCCUGAAGAAAGUUUUGGAGAUUGGAGGUUUUUCUAUCUGUCUACCAGGUUUCUGGCCCUUUGGGAGAUACCAGUUUGAGUGAGAGGGAUCCUGCUUGGACUGGCUGCUGGCUGCUGGACAGAGGACUAAAGAACCAUUUCUCUACUGGUCCUGCUUUGGACAUUUUCUUCUGAAGAUCUUGGCUCACAUACUGGACUCCAUUUGGUUCAAUUUUGCCAGCCCCCCACCCCCAUUCAAGCUCCAUUCCAUGGCUGACAUCUGCUCCAGCCAGAGCCAUUUGCCAGUUCUGCCACUGCAACUACAACCAGAUAACCUACAUCUUCCUGUGGCAGCAAACAAGUAUUUUACCUUCCUGGGAAUGACUAUAGCCAAAGGAUCUCCAGUCCCUCAGAUAAUACAAUAGUUAAAUGACUUGCCCAGGAUUUCCUCGAUAGUCUGUGCCAGAGGAGGGACUUAAGUCAAAUAUUCCUGUCUCCUAGAUUGUCUAUCCACUACACAAUGCUAUCUAUCCCUUCUUACAUAUAUUAUAUUUAAAAAAUAUUUUACAUAUCAGUAAACUUUUUGUCUUAAAAUUGGUUUUUAUUC